UAUUGGUCAAUAGCCUAACGGCUGAACCAGCAACUUGGAGGAAUGUAUAGGGAAAACUGGUAAAAUGUGAUGUACCUAGUAAUAUUAGUAAUAAAUAUGAGAUUAACUAAGUUAAUUAAAAUUCUAAGUAGGUAUUUGAUUAUGACAAUAUCUGCAUAGGUCUUGACCAAGUCACGUGCCAGCAGUCGCGGUAAUACGUGGAAGACAAGUGUUAUUCAUCUUUAUUGGGUUUAAAGGGUACCUAGACAGUUAAUUAAGCAAUUAGAUGUACUAAUUAACUAGAGUUUAAUGCAAGAAGGAUUGAGUACGGUGAGAGUAAAGAUAAAAUUUUUUGAUACCACUUAGGAACUGGUAACAGCGAAGGCUACCUUCAAUGUAAAAAACUGACGUUAAGGGACGAAGG
rnacentral:rRNA from 2 species